ensembl:lncRNA
GGAGGCUUUCGCACAGAUCACUUCACCCCCCGAUGCCCCCGCCAUAAAGGAGGAAACUGGGGAAAGUGUGUGUUUUUGUGUAUUUACGAUGAAAGUGGUGGGGGCUUUAUGGCCAAAGGAGGCAAGCUAAAUAAAAACAACACACGUUCUGUACAUGCAUCUGUACAUCCAUGUAUGCACGCCCAAUACAAAACACUCGGUUAUACUUCACAUUUGGUUUUUGUUGUUGUUUUUUGAUUUUUUAUCUUGCUGAGCAUGCAUUCACAUUCACAAGUCACUUGUUCACACUUAGCCAAACACUUUUUAACUUGAAGUUUACUUUUUUUUUGGUUGUAUAAGCCACAUACACCAUUCUCUCACAUGCAUUCAGGACUCGAUCUUCUACUUCAAAAUGUCUUUUUUUUUUUUUUAGAGAGUUUACAGAUAAUUUCUACAAAUAUAUAGAAAUCCAAGCAGGAUGCUGAUCUUGUCGUCUGUUACAAUAUAUGUCAGUAAAUUUGGAUACCAUCACUGAGUCUUUGGUGAUUUUGGUGAUGCGUUUUACAUUUAGUUAAUAGGAUGGACACAAUACAGGAUGCCUCGACACAGGGGUAAAGCCUCUUUACCAAUACGCAUGCCGCUGCUCCUGGUGGCAGAGCUCUCUGAUUACUGUUUAUCUUUGAAAAAGAGGAAUAAAUAAGAUGAGAGGCAUUAAACUAUAGAGCAGAGAGAGAAGGAGAGAGAGCAGUGCUCCAUCCAUCUUGUGUGAGUAUGGAGCCUCAUUCCUGGCACUCUAUCCAUCAAUGAGCGCAACAUUAACUCUCUGGAUCAGAACCAACAUCCCCAGAUCUCUCUCCAUCUCUUUUCCCCUCCCCUCACUCUACUAAACACACACACCAACACACUGAUGCAGCAUUAGUAUUCCAGUUCCAUCUAUGAAAAACCUCAUCAUCCACCUCUCUACCUUCCUCUCACCAAGACCCCGUUGUUUUCUAUGUUCAUCCCAAAAUCUCCCACUCUACUGGAAAUCAAGGAGAUAUUUUUACACUUCUCAUGCCUGUUUGGUUUCGCUCAUCUCUCUAUCCAUCUUUACGCACCACACUAACCUAAACAGCAAAGCUCCUCUGCACCUCUGAUGUUUAGUUUGUCUCGAUUCACCUCUUCUUUUCUCUUCUCCAGAUCUCCUCUUUGCUGAGCUGCCUGAUCUGCUCCUCUCUUUGUCUCUCUCCCAGUUGGUGUUAAUAAUUUAACUACUGAGCUGCUGCAGAGCUGGCUCGUGUCCAGGCCUCAGAUUGGCACUGUCUGUCUAUUUAUGACACUGUGUGGCGGUGCACAUGUGUGGGAUGUGCAAGAGUGAGAGGAGGAUUGUGUGUGAGUGUGCGGGUGAAUGCAUGCAUGUGUUUCCCUAUUAGACUUUAGCCAAAGCAAAUUAGCCUUCAAAGCCACAAGACUGACACCUAAU